AUAACAGAGUAACCUCUGUGACAGAGUGGCCAUUCGUACGGUAAUUUGGUCGAUUGUACGGUGUAGGGCCCUAACACGUUACCGUAAGCCAAUUGUACGGUAUUGUACACUUUUUUUGGUCACUGGGCCAUGGCCUCAUGAAUGAAUGAAAUGAAUCUAAGGACGGUACUACGGUUCAAAUACGGUAUUUUCAAAUGGCUUGUACGGUAAUCCGCGUUUGAGUGGUUGGCCACCCUGCUUUGUGACCUGUGAUGUAAUCCUGUUUUUGUUUUAAGGUUAGGACACAAAGGGCUUAGUUGUGAGGGUAGAUACUUGUCUCUGGUGAGGGCAUUCAUGGCAUUCAAUUCAAAUCUAUUUAGAAAUCAGGCUUCAAAUAAUGGUUAUUAGUUGCGUUGCCUUUGGUUGUAGCGCUACGCAAAAUCCAUUUAAACCAAUUUCCUUUCAUAGGUUUCCCUUCAGUCGGCCCGAGGUUCUUAAGCAUUGGAUUGAGGCUGUUGGUAGAGAAAACUGGUAUCCCUCAAAGUCGAGUAGGCUUUGUGGAGACCACUUUCUUCAAACCGAUUAUUAUCAGAUUCUAGAUGAAAGUACACACAAACGAUUAAAGCCUGGUGCGGUACCAAGUGUUUUUCCUGAUCGAUAACAUUUGGGAAAUAAAUAUUGUACAGUGUGGAACAUUGCACACAGUUGAAAAAUACAGAAUAAAGAUGAGUAGGUAGGAACAUUAAAAAUCAGUACACAUUAAAUAUUUUUAGUGGAGAUUUUAUUUUUAUUGCUUUGUAAAACAAAGGACACAUUUUGAAAAUGUUUUAAUGCAGGUGAUUAAAUAAAUGCCAUUUAGCCAAAAAAAAAUCA